UUCUCUCUGUGUGAACGUAAUUAAUAAAUUAAAUUAUCACUAAUCAUAUAUUUAAUCACAAGACAAAUCUCUCAUGAAAAACAAAAUUUGAAAUGUUUCUUCUCUUUUCUUUUUGCGAUUUUUUCCAAAUUUUGUUUUCAUUUCCAGGCCACCAUUAAUUUUGUUCUUUUCUAUUGUUUAUUUUUUCUGUUGUUCUAAUAAACUCUCUCUCUCUCUCUCUCUCUCACCCUAAACCUGAGACUCCCUACCCAGCUCCCUACAUAAGCUCUCCUCUCUUACAUCAGUCUCGUCGACAACAACUUUGAGUCUUUGUUUUGUCUCUGCAGCCUCUUUUGCUGGGUUUUGAUGAACGAACCCACUCAUCCUAUUCAUCUGUAACCUUUCAGAAGGUCUCGGUUUUUCUCAUU